GCCAUGCGGCCAUCUUGACUGUCCUCUGGGGAUCCCCUCCAAAGUGUGAGUGUCCUUUUAACAAUACAGUUUUGUUUGAAUCAAGUCCUUAGGCUGUUUCGACUCUUUAGGUGUGAUUUAGGUGCGUCAAAUCUUUCAUAGUUUCUCAUUUAAACUCGGUAAAGGUGAUUUUCUGUCACUCAAACAUCUUAUCACUCUGAAGUUAAUAUUUCCUUAUGUCUUCAGGAGCAACUUACUGAAGUCACACAUAUUCAAAGAAGGGAACAUGUUGGUGCUGUAUCGCUGGUGGUUGUGUUAUUGUAUUUAUGCAGAACAUGAGAUAAGUGAAAGAACUGGGCUGUGACAAAGUACAGAUAUGUCGCACUUCUGGUGUGAGUAUUAUUUUGAAUCCCUGGCUGAGCCUACUCUAAACUAAACCCUUUAUCUGCAUCACGCACAUACUUCUUUCACUGCUUCUUUUCACUUGAAUUCAUGAAAUGUUAUAUUUGUUAAAGAUUAACUUUUUGUCCAGUAGAGUCAUAAAGCUGCUUUAGAAUCAGUUAAAUCUCUCAAAAAGCGAGCUGCGGCCUGUCAGUUGCCGUACUUAUGUCUAAAUCAGCAUAAUAAAGAAACACUCUCUUCGUAUUUAAGCCUUUUUGUUAAAAACAUGCAGACAUUAUUCAGUUUCAUAAAAAGCUAACCAACUGAACCAAAAGUUUUUAACUUCCUCCUCUCAGCAAAGCUAUUGUUUUCAAUUCAGCGCUGCGACUCCCAGAUACUUGAGACUGUGUCAAAAUAACAUUAACACAACCUUGCAUGCAGAGUCAGGUCCAAAAUCUCAUUAAAUGAGUCCCCACCACUUGAAAAACACCUCUUUCAUGGCGGACAUUUGGAGCCGACAUUUGACAAAUUUAGUUCCAUUAAGUGCUUCUGUCAGUGAGCCAGCACAGUAAAUACAAUGGAGCUGGAAGCAGCUCACCUAAAUGGAAUGUGCUUGUUAUUUGUGUUAUUAAUCACCUGCGCUUUUCCUGCAGCGACAUGCCAAAAUGUCCACUUUGAAAAAGGUCCAAUGGGGAGUCAGCAGAAAGAGACUCAUUGCAAAACUGUGUUGCUGAACAGUAGUACUGUAUACGGAGUGAAAUAACCUGAAGCCUUAGGCGGAUGGGGAUGAGAAUCCAUUAAAAGUGUGUUGUUUGCCUUGGAUUUGUUGUGAUUUAAAAUCAAAUUAUUUAUGUGUAGAAACUCCUUUCACCUAACAUGAGUCAAUACUUGUACAUCUUCCCACUUCUUUCAUGUUUUUGGUUUCUCUAAGGGGCAUUGAGAGAUGCCUGUUCUGCUCAUACAUGGAGAAUAUACAGCACAACGCUCUGUAUGCUAAUGAGAUCGCGAGCAAGAUCAAUUAAGAGGGGCUACUCGUAUUUUCUUCAUUCAUAUCUCCCCUCACACUGAUAACAUGCUGCAGCGGAGGAGCUGUUCCUACUUUUAAUUUGGCCAUGUAAUGGUCAGGUUGAGCCAGCGUUAGUUUUAUUGUUAUCUUGGAACAGGUCAGAACAUCGGCGUCAGCUAAUAAGCGAGGAAAUAUUUUUCUGUUGGGCGUCACUGAAGGAUUUUUCAUCAUCGGAUAUCAAACCUGAAUGUUUCCCAGAGUGAGAAUUUUUUUAAAUACAAUAUUGAGAUUUAGUUUUUGUGUUGAAGGAAUGUUGAAAGCCUUGAAAUAGUCUUUGGCACAUGCUUUCUAGUUAGUUUCAGUCAAUGUUGAUGGAGCAAGUCAGGUUUUAGUCAGUUCACAUUUUUACAGGCUUUUCCUGGAUUUCUUCACUUAAUCUUGUCAACAUUUUCCACGAAUCACUGACUGAUUGGAAAAUAUAGAAAGAACAGUCAAGGACUAGGUUUUUUUUUAAGUGGGGUAAAUUGCAGUAAAGAGGGUAAUUUGCUGGUAUGUGACCAAGUCAGUCAAGAUAUUUACAUAUUUUAAAAAAAUGUAGUUGGACUGAAGCUGGACUUUCAAAAUGCCCGUAAACUUAUACGUCUAGUUUCUUCAGGGUGAACUGAUAUACUUGAAUUUUCUCCCUUCUCUUGAAUAUUUCUUGUUUUUCCUCUUGCAUACUCACUCUGCAAUCUGACCCAAACUGGACAAGGAGGUCAAGACUCUACAGUUUCAUGCAGGGUUUUAAUCCAAAAGUUGAACUGCAAAAUUUGUCAAGAGAAUCCAGGAAUCAAAACUGGUAACUAAAAAAUAAGCCUGAGGAAUAGCAUCCACCUCAGUGCAGAGUGUGAUCGAAAGGUGCGGAGCUGUAAAAAUAAAUUACUUCUCACCUGAUGCUUAUUUGCUGGGAUGAGGAUGGUAGUCUUGUUAUAUUGCCUACAUGAUCUACAGCAGCUUGACUUAACUUUGCAUUUCAACAGACUGAGUAUGGCUAGACCUGGAAUCACUCGCGCAAGAAAUACACAUCCAGGUUUUGCAUUUGGAAACCGAUAAGAAAGAGAAGACCACUCAAACCACUAUCUACCCUGUUUCUUAUAUAAGGUGGAUUUUCUUUCAGCUCUAAUAAAUGACUUAAAGGUGGGUUAGGCGGGAUCUGAAGAUAAAGUGACAUAGUCCAGGACCUGAGGGAAACAGUUUAGCGGCGCUACAACACACAGCAGGUCCCGUUUGGCAAGAGACACUGUUACAGACAUGUGGCUUAUUUUGUUAAAGUAGUUUAUCUGUCCAGCAGAGAGGUUACAGAUCCCGCAGCGUCCCCCAUUAUUUUAUGUUGACCCGGCUACCUCCUGGUCUACCUCCUCUUUAAGCGCCCAUUAUUCUGCCAGAGUCUCCUGUAUUUACUUCGUUUUCUUGCUUGUGUUGGCAGUUGGCAAAAAAAAAAAGAUGCUUCUUUAACAGAAUCCUGCCUACCCCACCUUUAACAUCUGAAGAGAGAGAGGAUUUCUGGCAUAGUGACAUUUGUUUAACAGGGGAGUGAUGGUAACGUUUGAACAAAUUCAGCAGAAACUCACUCCCCCUGAAACCAGGGUUAAGAUACUUAGAAGUUCAAAGCUUUACUGAAAAUCCAGGCAUUGUUCUCUUUAAUCUCCAAAUUUCACAAAACUCAAUUUUGGGUCGGGACUUUCUGCGUUUUAAAUGACCCCUUAUUUAAUCAGGAUGAAUUUGGGUUUCACUGAAUUGUGCUCAAAAAUAGGUUGUGGGUGGGGAGCUGGAGACACUGUCUAGUCUUGUAUCCAUAGAGAAGAUAACUUGAGUAAACUUAACUUGAUGUUUGCCUCUGGAUUGAGCCUCUGACUCUGCUCCUGGGUUCAGCUGGUCCUCAGGCUACGGGCUGCCAGUGAAGAAAGUUGCUGCUGGGAAAAAUAUGAGUUAGAAGGACUGUUGAUACACCACCCACAAAUGUGGGAUGGCACACACUUGUAUUUGACCUCACACCAAUGAAGUUGUCUAGUCAGUGAUUGUUUUCAGACUUGGACACCCUUGUAGCUAAACUGGUGGGCUUCACAAAUUUGUAACAAAGGGAGUGAUUGGCGCAGUUUCAUGAUUAGUUCUUACUGUACUGAGGUGAGCCACAGGCUGUUCCAUUUUUAGAUCGAAGUUUUGAGCCUCAAAAGUAAAGUUUCAUAUCAACAUGUUCAAAACACCUGGAGGUGCUAAAAUAGGAUAAGUUAUGUAGAAACAAAGUCAAAAGGCAAUUUAUUCUAAGCCUAGACAGAAGGGAAGCUUAGACAGAAAAUAACUUUCUAUAUUCCUUUAUACUUUCACAUUUCCUUGCAUGCAAAACAGAGAACUUUAUCAUGGAAGUUGCAAAACAAACUUUAUCAGUUGGUAUCAGGACCCAAGCCUUGUCUAUCGUGUACUUCCAGUCAGUGUCCUUCAUAUUUUUAAUAGUAACAUCUGUGCAUGGUGGGUAAAUUCUGGCCUCCUGCAUGUGUGUAUGUACUGUUUGUGAGCAGCUGUGCAAGAGUCCCCUAUGGCUGCGAGGUGUAUAUGAAAAACAGAUGUCAACAGUUGGAGGGGGGAUGAGAGAGAUACAUGCUGUCAGACACAAUUAAUGGGAACAAGAAAAUACACAUUCACAUGCACAGUGGUGCCCCAAACCAGCCGCUUUUUUUCUUUCAUUACUGCAAAAACAAAAGAGUGAAUACAUUUAGAAGAGUUCUUAGCUGGUUUUAAAGAGAAGAUGUGCAACAUAAUUCCACAAGUGUAAAAACCCCGAGUCAAUUUAGAGGAACAGUGCAGGCAAAAGAAGAAGAUUCAAGGGCGAAUGGAGAAGAAAAGAGAGGUCAUACCCACCUCACUCUUUUUCAAGCAUCUUCUUUCUGGCUUUCCAGGUUGUUGAAAAUUUCACAACCUUGAUUUUCCCCUCAAUCCUUUGUUUGUGCUAACUUGCCUCCAGCUAAUUGUCUGUUGAAUUAAUAAUGUAUCCAUCAAUCUAUCCACUCAAGUAAAAAAUAACACCACUAAAAAAAAAAAAAUCAUUAUAUUUGCAAGAGUGUCUGAAUACCUAAUAGAAAAUUAGCAUGUCAUAGAUUUUCCAUAGCUGACCUUCGGUGUUGCACUGGAUAUGCUUUGGAUGAUUUCAGCACACUUCUUAAGGAUUUCAUGCCACUCAUUCUCUGUAUUUUAGCUUGUGAGUAAGUGCUCCACGGGCUGUGCUGGCAUUUGUUGUUUCUUUUCCUUGAGCCAUCAGCAUUGGGUGGCAGCUCUGCUGGCUGCUGCAGCCGGCUCAUUAGCUCAUUAGAUCAUUAGACUUAGCCGCUGGCAUCCUGGCAUUGGGUGGCUAACAAACGGAGAUACAAUGCUGCAGUGAGUUUCCCAAUCCACUGUUGGUUUUUGUCAGAUUCUGUUGCAGAAAGCUUCGAGGAUUGUAUUCCUCAGUCUAGCAAGACUUGCACUAUGCUCAGCCUCUUGGGGUGGACCUCUGAGGUAUAUUUCACCUGGACCUUAGCAGCAGAUCUUCUACAGUUCCAUGCAAGCCCUUAGUAAAACUAUCAGUCAGCCAUGCCUCUGACUGGCCGAUCUUGCAACCUUAAUAUCUUCGAAACAAAGGCUUUACAAAAAAAUUACUUGUUGCAGUAGGUGCCAUGGGAGCCUUGAAAUGCUCACAAGAUCUGUAUAGAGCAUGUUCCGUAUUUGCUCCAUAGAGCAACAUUAGGUAUUAGUAUACAUGUGUAUUUGUAGCGUGGCAGCAGCGUAGUGCAGCCUUGGUCAGCUGGGCUCAGUAUAGAGGAAACAACAUGCUCACAACAGGUUGUUUUGCCUUUCUGUGGUCUAUUUCCUGCUAAUUUAGAUAUAAUUCAGUGACCGUUGAGCCUGUACUAUAUGUGAAAAAGCAAUGUGAUUUCACAGUUUCGGUUUUUGCAGGUUUACUCGUGUUAAGUAAAGUAAACUAUAUUCCUUUAUGCUGUGCUGUUACCUUCAGACAGAGUUAUUGGAGUGUUCUGUGUUACUGACAAAUCCAUAACCUGGAAGUAUUUCUCAUCUACACAAACUGAUACACAGUCGGGAGUUUGCAUAUGGUGUUUUAUUUUGAAAUACUGGAAGACAUGCGCGGUUUUUGUGCUUGACUCCCUGUCUGGAAUGUUUUUUUUGUGUGGAUUGACAUGCAUUAGAAGCGUAGAGCAGCAAAAAUAGACUCCUGGUGUAUCUUUAGCAGUGCUGUUCUCAAUACGAUGCUGCGACGGAGCUGAUACGCGUCCUGUAAGCUUUGCUGCAUUGAUUAGAAUGGCAACCUAUUUGCUGCGUGACACAUGGCGCUGCUGCCACGCUCCAAAUACGCAUCCUGUAUGUUUUAGCUUUCAGUGUGUGCGUGAUUUCUGUUCCUUCUGCAGCCAGUCUCAAGUGGGCACUUGUGGAACUGCAGUUUUGUGCAUUUCUGCCACUUACAAGCACUAUUAAGGUGCUUGUAGGGUCAGUGUUGGACCACUGGUACAUCUGUGGCUGUGCAGCCUAGUCCAUUUCCGUCUGAUCCAGCUUGAAUUUUUUUCAGCUAUUUCAGCUCCCCUCUGCCAGUGAAGCCUGGCCUGCUUCACUCUACACACACAUCAGUGAGCCUCAGACACCCAUGAAUCUGUCACAAGUUUUCUCCCUCGGACUAGUUUUUGUUGUUACUGAUCACUGCAGACUGGGAAACGCCCCUCAACAACUGCUUUGAGGAGAUACUCUGACCUAGUCCCCUUGCCAUCACAAUUUGGCCCUUGUGAAAAUCCCACUCAUCCCUACCCAAGCCCAUCAUUCAUGCUUUCAACACUAAUGUUAUCCACCUCACCUUUCAGUAGACAUAAUGCUAUAGCUGAUAGGUGUAUAAUCAAAAUGGUUUGAUCAAAAAUUGAAGAUUUUCUUCAGCGGUUUCUGGCAGACCUGCUUUCAGUCCAAAAUAAGCAGCUUCUUUCUGUGGGGAAAAGAGUCCUAAAAACCUACUUUAGGCACUGGGCAGGUAAAGAGAAAUUCAACUGAAACACAGUGAAAAAAAUGACUGCUAAAAGCUUGACAUUUCCAUCAGGAAUUGGAGGGGGCUAAAGUCAGAGCUGAUGGGGAGUGAAUUUUGGACUCUUAAUGAAUUGCACACCAAAUGGACUUCUAAUGAAUUCUAAUUUUGCAACAAAUUCGGUAAUGUGUGUAUCUAGGAAAUUUUAUGCAGACUUUUUUGUGUAUGAAAGAUACAGGAGAAGCAUUUUUAAAAUCGAUUUCAAAAUUUUAAAAGCCAGAACAGGACGUUCAGUCUUUGACUAAAGUUGUAAACACAUUUUUUCUCUUCAAAUUAAAGCCAACAUCUGAGACUGAUAAAUAAAUUAAAGGUGGGACUUUACUUUGAGCAUCUGCCACGAAGCACUACAGAUUCUUUGCCAGCAACCCAGACAAACACCUUCCUGCUUAGCCAGGGCCGUUUUUAGCCAACGCAACACAUUUCACCCCGAUAUACUGUUUAGAAACAAGAUCUGCCAACAGUAGAUAAUCUCCCCUCUUUAUCCAACUCUGUCUAUUCUUUCCCCUUCCUCCUGUGUAUUUUUACCCUUUCAUUUCCACAUUUCUUCUUUUAGAGCUCCCUGAUUUGUUUCCAUUAUUACUUUCUUUUUCUGCCUCACAGCCCCUAAACAGCUCAGACACAGGAGGAAUAAGCAGGUAUUAUAUUAAAGACUUUUUCCAUUCCUCGAUAUUCCUCUGCAGGAUCUCCAUAUAAUGCACUCUCAGCCUUUUAAAGCCGCAUUUAAGAUCUGAAAUGGAUCAAGAUGUUUCAGAGAAAAACAACAUUGCUGUCUUACCUGCUUGCGUGUAUGUGUGUGCGUGUGUGUCCCCAGCACUCACACCUUCCUCCGUGUGUGUGUGUGUGUGUCUGUUUGCUUGCGAUGUGUGCUUCCUUCAGAUAGGGUUUUCAGUCGUGUGUAACGGCUGAAAUUGUAUUUGCUAAUGGAGCCAUUUUGGGACAAGCAGGCUCAGACGGAAACAGCGCUAUCUGACCUGAGAUAAAAAAGCUUGUGUUUGUUGGUAUUUCUUCCCAAAGAUGCACCCGUUUCAUCCAGCUCUUGGGCCGUUCUAUUUAUUCUCUAUUAAAGCCAUGUAGCUCAGAAAUUCAGUCCAGUCACACAACACCAGCUUUUUUUCUAUAAACUGAGAUUUUACAUGUUUAUGAAUAGCAGCAAAACUUUGUGUCACAGGCUGAAAAAGAACAAAUUCCUACAUUUUGGUUGAUUUCACUUGAAAAUAGCGCCCCGCUCCAAUUACCAGAGCCGAUCUUCGAUCUCAGUAAACAGAUAAUAGUAUUUAUCCUCACUGGGGAUAAUGAUGGAUCAUCGGCAUAUCAGUUCAGUGCAGUUGCCAUGAAAAACAUCACCACCUGCCAUUAAAUUGCUAUAGCAAUCGACAUCUGCAGGCACAUCUGGAGCUGGAAAGCAGUUUGGUAGCAGCAUUACGCAACAGUGAGUUACCAUCCACACUGAGCCCAACUGGGAGACUGAGGAAAUCUGUUCUAAAAUGAGACAUCAGCAGUAGAGAAAGUGGCACCUUACACAGUAAUUGAUGAGACUGUAUAAAAAUUAACUGAAAUCAUGCUUUUUAAUUGAAUGCGCUGCUGUUUCCUGAAGUCUUUGUUAGACAGCACAAUAUUUCACUCAUAGAACAGAUGUUAGAAAUGCUCAAGUAGUGAAUGAAGAACUAUAGAAUGUGCUUUACAAGUUUGGUUUUCUGUCGAUGUUUCACACAAGCAUAAUUCAGUGGAGGGGGAAAAGGAUGACUUCAUGUUUACCGUUUCCAUUUCUUAAAGGCAAUAUUUGUUGUCAUUUUGGAUGGUAAUCAGAGUUUGGAGGCAAGGGAGUAGGUUUGGUUUUGACAUUGGUGGGGACACAAAAUUGUCCUCCUGAAAGUUUGUUUUUUUGCAUUUGCAAUCAUAAUUUUGCGUCAUGUAGAGCAAGCGAACACAUGCACACACGCACGCACACAAACCGACACAAACACAAAUGUAAUUGAUACUGCUGAUAUUGAAAUCCGUUUAAGCUGACGUGACCCAGGCACAAUAUACCAAACAAACAACUUAAACUUCUUGGUCAAAUAACAUGCACUGUCUGCCUCCUGUCUGGUCCAACUGGCAGGUAACUUUUACAGGCAGAUGUAGUGACAGCGGGGACAGCUUAUCACAUGUACAUAAGCAAGAAACCAGCAGCCUAUUGAAAGGCGAUAUUUAGGUUACAGGUGGGACUUCUAGCAGAGACCGACGGUUAACCCGUUGUGUGCCAUAAUUAUUGCUUAAACAUUAUGGACAGCAGUUGUAUUGAUAAGGACUACACUGUAGCAGCUGAUUAUUGGUAGGGAUGUGUCCCUAGCUUUCCUCCCCAAUUCUACGCCCAUGUUUGUAUUGAGGAUGGAAACUAGAACUCAGAAACAAGACUAAAAUCUGAUUUUAAUAUAAACUGUGUGGACUUACGCAGCAUUUACCCAAAGAAGUAGAAUAGAAACAGACUGUAUAAAGAAUGGACGUCCUCUACCUCCUCGCUGGGUAAAGCCUCCUCGAGAACAGCACCUCCUAGUGACUGGUUGCAGUAUAGGUCAUAAACCUCACCUCCUCCAGCUAAACAGAGGGAGCUAUAGGCAAACUUAUACAAAUCACAUAUAUUUUUCUCAACACAUUUUGUGGUGUUGACAUGUAGUUUUUGUUAGACUGGUUUGUGCUCGUUACAGAAAGAAAAAAGUUAUAAAAACGUUACUUUUUGAUGAUUGACACUCGAUACAGUCAAUGGGUGUAAAAUGAUUGUACAGGACACCUAGGAAUAUGUAGUUUGGGUAGAGCAUCAUCACCAUGUUCUCCCACCAUGGUGGUGGGAGACAUUCCCAGAAAACACCGUGAGCAUUUUGGCUUCAAUGACGGGAGGCGGAGUCACGUAGUCAACAUUGUAUACAGUCUAUGAAUAGAACGUGCCAUGCAAAAAUAUGUUAAAAUUUAAAGUUUUUUCACUAAUAGAAUAUACAGGAAGCUGCCAUGUUCAAAAGUUUUGAAAAUCCAAAACAAGAAAUAAGGGUUGACGUCAGUGUUGCCUUUCAUAGAAGAUGGAAAAGGCCCGUGAGGGAUGUCCAUGCAUAGCAAAGGAGGUGGUUCACACCAUGACAGAAUUGUAAAUACAGAGUCAUAUAAUAUAUGUAUAAUCUUACAGUUUUAUUCCUCGGUGACAAAAGGCCCCUGGCUUUUUCAUUAAUAAAAAUCGUAGAAUAUGACUGUGAAAUCGUCCUGUCCCUCCCCUCUGCCUGAUUAUGAUGGUGUUAUUGCCAAUCACAUAUAUAUACAGUAGAAUAGGCUGUCCUUUCACCUCCAAAGUAAUUGAAAAGGUCUCUAUCUUCCUCCAGCCCUGGUCACUUUCUCAUUAGACCCGCACUCAGCUCUGAAAUGAGUCGUCAGCCUUUCCAGUUGGUAUUAUCGGGGACAAGACAUUACCAUCAUUGGUGGAAAUAUUACAUUGCCAUAGUUUCAAUAAUAGAAUGGUGCUGGGGCAGGGUGGUGAGGUUGAUAGUGAUAGUAAAGGGGUGGGGAGUGAGGUUAGAGUAAGUUCAUGGUUGAAAUAAUGAGAGUGUUAGCUGAAUUAAUAGUUUUUGAGAAAGAGGUAUGAAUACAUGAAUGUAAAAGGUAGCUUUUAUGAAUUCCUAUCAACCAAAUCUAUGCGUAUUUUAAAAUGUGUGAUGGCCUAGCAUAUUCUCAGAGGAAAAUAUUGCUUUAAUAUGCUGCAGAUUUUGCUGCCUAUUAAUUUUUUUUAUGCCACUGAGUAAUGUUUCUAUCAUAAAACGAAAUCCAGAAAGUUACACUCUCUCACAUGGAUUAAGUUUUAGCCCAAGAAAAAGAGAGCUGUAUUUUUUUCAUAAAGGAACACAUAAUCACCAAAAAAUCCACCGGCAGAGAUGGAUCAUUUUUCAGUAGCCUUCAUUUCUUGUGAUCUUGAUUCAAGAAAAUCAUGAAAAAAGUGCUGCUAGAAACAGGGUUACUUGUGUUAUCUUAUAUGUACCUUUUGUUUAUUUCAUGCUCUUUUUCAGAAAAUAAUAGACAUCAAUAAUAACACAAAUCUUUGCUUUUAGAAAUAGCAUCUGUUGACCCAAAAGCAUCACUUAAAACAGAAAGAUCAUAAAUUAUUCAAUUAUGCAUCCAUGCUGUUGUUGGAAUCGCCCGGUAGGGUUUAAUGCAAUGUGAGAAACUGGAGCAAUACUGUAAUGGUGCAUGUUUUAUGUAUUCAGUAGGAGAAAGGUACGGGCUGCACAGGAGAGAUUUGGCAGGCAGAUGUAAGGGGAAAGAAGGUGCGGGUGUGUAUGUGUGUGAGUGGCGGAGUUGGGGGUAAUGGGGUGUGGGAGAAAAUGGGAGUGGGUGUAUAAGAUUUUAGACUUAAGGACUACAGAGCAAAAGGGCACCUGUCCAUAUUUGGAGGCUGCAAGCAUCCAGCCAAUCAUCAUUGGAUUAGGAAGGAUCAUGACCUUCAGCCUUCAACGAGAAGUAAAAAUCCUGGAACAAAUAGUUAUAUAGGUGCACGCACACACACACACGCACUCUACAAAUGACACGCACAUAAGUUGCGAGUAAGGACUGGCUGGUAAAGCAAGCCUUGGAUUUGCUACUAUAAAUCCAGCUUAUGGACGAAUGGCCACCACAAACAGAAAAAAUGCCUCCACAGCAAAAUCUCAAACGCUGAGGGCUAGAAAGAGCAGGAGAAACCAUUUUGGACUUUGCAGGAGAGGGUGAUAAAGACUGGAGAGAUGACAAAAGAGAGGAGGCAUUUCAAGGGAGGGAAUAAAUAAAGCAUGGCCUGCAUUAGGGAGGCCAGGAUUUCUCCUGUUUACUUUAUUUUGGGCAACACAGUCUGGUGUCAUUCCAUGGCUUCGAAACAUGUUUCCAUCUCAUAUUCAUGGAACGAAAGGGAAGAUCCCGCAGGAUAUUGAACAAGAGUCCACAAUAAUCUCAACAUUUUAGAAAAACUAUACUUAACUCUCAAGAUAGGAUUUUAGUAAGCCUGAUGGCUGUUGAAACAUUUCACACUUUGUGCCAUGUACCUUUAUGUGUCAUGAUCCAUCUGGGCUUAAGAUCACAUGAUAACCAAAGGAGAUCAGCCAGGAGAAUUCAGAUCCAAUGUAAACAUAGAACAACCUACUGACAACCUUCUACCAUUGGUGAGUUUGCUAGAUAAUUACAGUUUCGGUUUAAACUUCUUAAUUAUAUUCAUUUUUUUCCUGGAGAAUGAUAGAGUCAAAGUGUGGUUGUGAUUGACAUAGAUCAAAGAGUGUUGACCAUAAAUGGUGUAACUGACUCAAUGGUCUAUGUUGUUGACCGUAUCUGACUCCCUCUCCAAGUCCAUCAGCUCUGUUUAGCUUGAUGAGACACAAACUGUUUAACCUUUAUAACAAACUGCUUAACUUUAAGUAUUCUGGAUCCUAUUUAGAAAUCAUUUUUAUGGUUGUAUUUGUGUUUGCACAAGUCGAAAUGAGAACCCACUUUAAACCACUACUUAAAGGGAUAUUCCAACAUAAAAUUGAGUUAGGGUCAAUCACACUGUAACACCAAGUUAGACACCCCGUCGAGAGAUGAAUUUUGCCGACCACUUGCUUCUCUAGUUAUACCAACUUUAGUAAAGACCGCAGCAAUGCAGAGUGCCGGGUACUGGAGGGGCGGGUUGGGGGUUUGAGGGGGAUCACUUAUUUUUUGUUGUUUUUUUUAAGAUGAAUUUUCUGACUCAUUGUGGAAUAAAUAAAAGUUAAAAAAAAAAAAGAAAGCUUAAAGAUUGUGGUCCCUAUUUUGGAAACGCUGACUCCAUAUGACUUUAAACUAAACUGAAAAACUAGCAAAGGUGGAGUUGCAGCCCUAGUCUUGCCUCAUAGUGUAGAGCCCUUAGCCAUGCUGCACUGAAAAUGUAUGAGUUUUAAAGCAAAGUAACCUUUUGAUUUUAAAUAAAUGUGGUAUAGAAAACAUAACCUUUUUCAAAGUUAACUUUAUUGAAUCCUUUAAGGCGGCGCAUAUAUUGAGGGACAGUCGUUCAAAUCUAAUGACGAUCAGCCAGCUAAUUCCAUUUCGAUUAACCAUCUCUUAUUGCCUUAGCCACACCUGCUCGGACACGCACGGCUGCCCCGCCCCCUCGUUAUGUGGAGAGCUCUCUGUCAUUAACGAGACGCCCAGUAACCACGGUGACCUGGAAACACUUUUCCCCAAACAUUCCAUCAGUCAGCAGAGCAUGUGUAUUGGAUCGUUAACAGAAUGCUCAUUAAUUACAAGGCGUUGGGAUCGGCGUGGCUAAGGGUCGCCGUGGCAGUUGAGAUGAUAAAGGAUAUAGCUAAUGUGAUUAGUCAUUAGCAUUUAACAGUAGGCAGCUGUGAGGAAACAUGCAUUAUAAUCAUCCUAUGGAAAGUCAGGUUAAAGGAAGUCGAACAAUGUGAUGCACAUAUUCAAAGUUUGUGGGUGUGGAGAAGAAGGACGGGCGUAUAAAAAAAGAAAAGGUUAAAGAAGAGGAUAAAAAGGCUGAAAGGAAAGAGGAGGGAGAAAAGAAAGGAGGGGAAGUUAAUGAGCUCAACAUCUUUUUAUUAUUCCAGCUCCUUAGCACACUUUAAUGUUCUUUACAGGUCCCCGGCUCAAGCAUUUGUCCUUCUUUUUUAUCGCAUACUGAAAAUGCAAUUAGUGUUUUCAAUUUUCCGAGCACUUCUUCUCCACUCAGUCAUAAAAAGAGUCCAGGUAAUGUGUAAAAGUGUUGCUUGGUGAAUGUAAUUGGAUGACUGCUUUCACAUAAAAAACUAUUGUUUUUCACGUAAAUGUUAACAAUGAGAAAUCAAACUCUAUUACUUUGAAAGGAUUGCACAGUAUAUUGAAUCGAUGAGUCAUGAUUGAGUACUUUGGACACACUAUCAAAGCACAAAAAUAUACAAGCAUUGAAUGAUUUUAAUAGGCUGGUCCUAUUCAUGGAGGAAAUUUAAUCUUCUCGGUCAUUGUAGCAAAUUUCAGGUCAAGCAGUUUCUCUUUUUUGGAUGUGUUUAAGGAGCAGCUCAGAAACUUCCUCAGUUCGUCUGGUUUUAGACUCUUUCACCUUUCUAUGUCAGCAUAUACACCUUCUUUAUUUUUAGGGCUGCAACUAACGAUUAUUUUGAUAAUCGAUUAAUCUGUCGACUAUUUUAAUAACUAAUCGAUUCAUCGGAUAAACAGGCUAAAUUCAUCAAUACAGCUGUUAAUAGCAAUAGCAUAGGGCUUUAGUUUAUUAUAUGAGUUUAUAUAUCAUGAGGUGUUGAGGUCUCUGCAUGUGUAGGUUACUGGCUUACUGUAAUCAUCGGGUCUUUCUUGUCCUUAUAAAAACCUGCUCUAUUUCGGCGAGUGUCUGUCUUCUUCUGUAGUCAAACCGCAAGAUAUCAAAAUCUACCCAGAUACAGCAAUGCUGCUUUUUGAUUGGCUGUUCAGUAGAUAUACUUUAUUUGAUUGGCUUGUGCGUGGCACGCAGCUUCUGAACUCUCGGAGAAACUCAGUUGAUUUCCCCCUGUUUCAUAGUUAAAGAGGUGCAACUUGGUGGACAUCACCAUGUUCAUUUAAAUGCGUGAGAAAUACAAUGUGUGGUGUGUGAGCGUGUAACCGGGUGGGAAUGCGUGUGUCAUACGCUGAAUGCGUGAGACUUGCGAGCCCUGUGCUCACGCAUCAUCGAUGUACUCCCGAGCCAUGCAAAACGGGCUUUGCAAAUGUUGCACUGAACGCCUUCCUUUUCAGUCUUGUUAAAGUUUUCCCACACCACUGAUGUUUUAGGUCGGGAUUUGGGUUGGGUUGUGUCCAUGUUUUUCUCAGCCGCUGCCUCGGCCAUGGCUGUUUCUUUUCUGUGCGUCCUGCUGAUGUUUACACGCCGGUGUCCAUGGACAUAUAUAAAGACCCGACGAAUGGAUUACAGAAUUAGUUGGCAACGGAUCUUUUCGUCACGACGAAUCGACUUCAUCGAUUCGUUGUUGCAGCCUUAUUUAUUUAUUUAUUUAUUUUUUUCCAUUUGAUUCAGCUAUAAUUUCCCUUCAAAGAAAUCUAUCUGACACUUUAAGACCAGAAUACCAACAUCAAAUUGUACCAAAUCAUGAUUUGCAGCCACACCAGUAAUUCGUGAGAUGAAGGCCACAAUCCUUUCAAUUAACAUCUCUUCCUGUCCUCUUGUUGUCUGCUUUCAUCCCCUAGAAUCUGAACUUGGCCUCUUCGACACCUUCACAUGGAUUGGCUGGCCUGUGAAGCAAAAAUAUGAAGCUCGACUUUAGUUACUCAGCAUUACCCAUCACAUGGCCUUGUUCCCGCCUGAAGGGUAAGCACUGAGGCUGUUUUUGUACUUCUUUUAUUCUUCUCCUAGCCGGGGUACACUCGCUCUCACUGCACAUGCCUGUCAAAGCAUGUUGCCAACACCUACAAAAUGGGAAGUUAAAAGCAGCUGCUGUGGUUAAAGGAAAGGUUCGCUCCUCAGCACAUCCUUCAUCACCCAUGUUCUUCCUGACAACACCUCUGAGACUUCUAGAGGUUGAAACUCAGUUCAGCUCUGAGCAGGAAUUUACCCUGAUCACUCUACUUAUCCACGGGUCAUAAAGACUUUUUACCGUUUAAACACAGUAAUUAAUUUAUAACACUCAGUAAGCUUCUCUCAUGCAAAGGUUUAGAUCUUAGAGGGAAUGAAGGAGCAACCUUAGAGGGAAUAUAAUUUAAUGUGAUGGUUUGCAGUUGUUGUCAGUCUAAGCUUGUGAUUCUUAAAAUAGUUCAUUAAAAGUAAAACUGCCAAAAAGGCUCAAAGUCCAGACCAGAUACCAUAAAAAAUUUAGACACAUACAUAUUUAUUACACCAUUGUUCCAUAACUGCAGUUCUACUUAUAUAACACCAACUUGAUUCAUUUUUAUUACUUUGUGAAAUCUUCUUGAUUCCAAUUAGUCAUGACACAGCAACAGUUCAUGAUUAAUAAUCUGUUAUUUUUGUAAGGCAGACUGCUAUUGUAGCUCUAAUCACAGAUUCCUGAGCACUUACUGUGAUAAUAUCAAUGAGAAAAAAUAAAUCCUCCUACGCGGUGUGUCGCUGAUUUAUAGUCUUCUUUCUUCCAAACUCCACUAUUUUAUUUCAGACUCAGUGUGCCACACUGGUGCCAUGAAAAAGGGUCUAAACAGUCUGGGGAUUUGAACCAUUUGCUGACCUUAUCAUCGCAAACGUACUAAAUUCUCUUGGCUUGAUUUCAACUUCUCUUAAAAUGUAAAAGCAAAGUGAGAGGAGCCGUUCGCCGCCGUUGGCCCUUUGGUCCAUGAAGGUGUUGGGAAGUAGAUUAUCCAUGUUCUUUAUAAGAGCCUCCACCUUCCUCAGUGUCUAAAGAACUGUUUUAUUAAGGUUCAACAGACAAAACAGAAAUAUUUUUUAUCAAAACAAAACAGCAACACCUUAGAUAAUAACUUGGCUCUCAGAAGUGUAUGAGAACAAUGAUCUGGAUCGAAGGAUAUGUUGGUACGAGCAGUCCUAAAACCACUAGACAGAUAUUUACCAGCCUUGUACAGCAAUAAUGACUAAAAGCUGACUUUCUCUGUUCUGAUUUUGCCUUGAGCACUCCUCCCAGUCUUCUCCCAAAUGAUCUAGAGGUCUCACAAAGUAAUACCCCAGGCUUAACAGUCGUGUGUUUGGAGCCAACUCUAUGCAGCAAUUUAAAAUCAAGUGCUAAAACUUUCAAAUCAAUACUGCUGCUUACUGGCAAACAGUGUGGAAAAUCAACAACUGGUGGGUGUGAACUCACCUUUUUAGUCUUGGUAAUGAAUGAAUGUUGAAUAUAUUACAAAUGCCUGAUAGACUCUUUCAAAGCACAGUAUAAAAUCGUAGCUAUCAGUUUUGUUGGACCCUGCCCUUUAGCUUUUAAAGCCUUGACCUUAAGGUAGUCAUAAACUCAGAGGGUCUCAUCUUUAUUGCCUGAAAAGUUACAUGAUUCUUUACUUUUUCCAAGCCCCAAAACUUCUUUUUUUCACAUCUUUUUCAAAACGGCCAAGUGCAGCACAACCAUAAUAUGCAAGGUUAAGUGUGUGUCCAUAUUGGGGCUUAUAAAGGUCUAACUGUAGUGAGCCAAGUACUGGUCUUUGUGGGACACAGACAGUGUGUUUACAUGAGACUCGAGAAAACCGAAUUAUUGCCUUACUCCGAUUAAGACCGGACAAUUAAAGUGCAUGUUAACACCUUAGUCCGAACUCCAAUUAAGACACCCAGAUAAUGUGAUUGGAAUUCAAUUUUCUCUACCAUGUAACCAGCAUAGUCGGAGUAUUAUUGGACAAUGCAUGUGCGUGUGCUCCACACCCCCAUAACCCUGGAACAAAAACCAUGAGCAUGAGGAGUCGCGUCCACUCAUCUGCAGAAAAGUAGCGUAUACAUCACGUACGGCAAAAACAACGCUGUAUUAUGCUCCAUCUUCUUGCUUGAAAAUGCCCAGCAGCAGUUGUAGCCACUUCUGACGUCUGGCACAGACCUGCUGCUGUUGUAUGGGGUCAACCGGGAACAGCGCUGCUGAAAAGACCAAUAUCACCCCCUAGUUUUAGACACAUUAAUGUCAAUAAUUCGAUUUUCUAAGCUGCAUGUAUACACGGACAAGGAGAGGAGUCUGAUUUGGUAAAAAAAAAUAAUAAUUAUGAGCUUCGUCCGAUUAAGCUGACUGUCUCUUUUCCAAUCCAUCUUACGUAUCCCUUCACUGAGUUGCCAUUAUAGGACAAAAUCUCAAGAAAAAGGUGAAUGGACCAAGAAAACUUAUAAAACAGUUUUAUUGGGAUUCAACUUUGUAAAUAAAGUUGCAAAAUUUAGUGUUUGACUAAAGGAACUGCUGAUCUUGGUGACCCCUUUUGAUGAAAUUGGUAGUAAAGACUGUAAUUCCCAUGAGCACUUUCACCCAUUGUUGUAAAAAAAGUGGAUAUUACCAGAGUUGGAGCAAACAAGUGGUAUACACGUCUACUUUUUUAGUCUUAUCUUUGUUUGAGGCGCCUUUUUUCAGGGUUCAGAGUGAUGAAGUUCAUUUUUUGGCUCUGUUAGGUCAUUAUCUAUAAUAUAAAACCCACAAAACUGUAUUAAUUUUUCAUUCCCAAACUUUAUGGAGUUUUUUACUCCAUCGACUCUUGUUGAAAAAAAUCAGGCCUGAAAACAGAGACAUUCAGAAUAAAGUAAUAACCAAUCUUAUCACUGAUGGUCUCUCUCUGGGUCAUGACGAGGCAUCGGUAUAAAAGUGACACCAUUUCUGAAGUGUUUAAAACUCCUCACAGUGCCCUUGAAUCAGAUAACGUGAGCAUUAUCUUUGAGAAAAGACAGAUUUUUCACUGUCGUCAGUAGAAGGAAAUACCGGAGCAGGGGCAGAAUUUAUCUGACAUACUGUCAAAGAAAAUGAUAAUUUAAGGAGCUGAAAAAUAUCUUCUCAAAUACAUUUUACCAGCAAAAAUAAAACAUCCAAGAACUUUCAUUUAUGUUUUUAGUCUUAAUCUUGUUCUAGAAAGCCCCCUUAAACAAUUUUUGUGCAUACAUUUUGAAAACGGGUAAUGAAAUACCUAUUUUUAAAACGACUAUUGCAUGUAACCCUUUGCAGUUCAGCACCAGGUAUGCCUCAUAUGUAGUCACAAAUGUAAAAUGCUUAAACACAGUCUCCGUCUGUGCAUAGAGCGGAGUUUAAACUAAAAUAAGUGGCUCCAGCUCUUCAUGUGAGAAAGAAGAAUGCCAUCAUCUCCACCUCUUUCAUUGGAGCAUUGAGGCUACAGAGAGCGAUGUAAAAGAGCAUUUCAAGAAUUCAGCUCUACCACAGGAAUUCACCACAUAGUCAGCUGCAAAUUUCCCCCUGCGUGUGCUUGAGACUGCUUUUGAAUGUAAAGUACAUUAAUUUGACUUCAGAAAAGGAAACCUAUUGAGAAUGUGGGUGCAGAGUUGAGUGAGUGGAGCACUGGGAAUGAAUAGCAGACUUGUGAACUGAAGAGAUAAGGUAUCUGAUCUUUAUCGGCUGUAUUACUCCUUGGUCUGCUCCCCUUUUUUUUCCCAUCCUCCUCUCUUCCCGUGCUCCUUACCGGUUCCUUUAGGCUCAUUUAGUUAAUUAAGGCCAUGAAAUGUUUCAGAAACCAAUUAUGCUGUGACAUUAUUAAAAGACCACCCUUCCUUGUGAGUGCAGAUUGUGUCAGUCUCUUGUCUACCAGGAGAAUGGAAACUUGUCUGACCUAUGCGACUGUUGAAAUAGGGUUUUAGAUUUAUGUGGUGAAAGGCAACAUCAGCGAAUUUUACUUUUCCUGCUCGUUUUGUUUCUUUUCUUUUCCCACAAUAUCUUCAAUUUCUAUAUUUCUUAAGAAAACUCACGUUGAUGUGGCAGACCUUGUCAUUCUUUGCAACUGGAUUUUUAAUAGGGAUAAGAAAAGGCUGUUAUCAGAUCGUAGACUGAUGGGAUCUCUCUGCAGCGCUGAAAAAAAAAAGAAUCCAUCUUUAAUAUUGUCCAGUUAUGAAUGUGGAGGAGGAAUAAUUACUUGGAAAAAGCUCCUAAUGUUUAAUGCCGUUACUGUGAUGGUCAACAUGUGAGGUCUGUGUAUGAAAAGGACAGAAAACCAUUGUUCUUCGGAAAAAAGCCUCUCACACGUUUAUAAAUGCGAAAAGAUGUGGAUUGAUGAAAUGUAGAUGAAAAGACCUUUCAUUGGUUGUUAGCAGCUGAAGAAGUCAUUCUCUUUCUCAUCCACAAUAAGAUAGUGAUAGUUGGGUGAAGCUGUAGGAUGCUUUGAAGCUUUCUUGUCCUUUUGUGUGCGGAGAAAAAUCUUUCCUUCGAUGCUUUGAAGCUUCAAACUAUGAAGACUAGUGACUCCUUUGUUCAGGGUCCUUAUGCAAGUAUCAAAAGUAUGGAAACAAAUUUGAUUAAUUCCCAGGUCUUAAAAAAUAUGUAAAAUGAAAAAUAAAGUAUGGAAGAAGAUCUAUGUUUCCAGACUAUUACCACGGUUCUAAAAAAUUGUUUUCUAAAAUAGGAAAGUAGGUAUUUCCAAAAAAAAAAUUCUAAAAAGUAGGGUAUGGAAAAGUAUGGAAAUUCCAACUGUGUAGGAACCCUGUUUGUUGUUUCCCUGCAGAAGUGUCCAUCACGAAAACGGUGACUUUCUUUCAGUCUGAGGGCUAAUUACACAUCUGAUUCCUGACAAAAUCCCCUGUCAUUGUCAGGAAUGGAGUGAAAUUACAUUAAAAAACCCUGAAGUUUACUACCAGAGCAAAACAAAACAAAACAAAAGGUACAUUAGUGUUAAGAAAUAAGGGCAUGAACUUGCUGUCUUAUGUGUUUCACAAAUUGUGUGUUUAGUUAUUUUUGUUCGAUUUUGAGGCUAAGACUCUCAGUGUCCUACGGGAAUGAUCAGAGGUCAUUUUUGCAUUGUGAACACACUGACAAAUUAACUGACGGUCGCUUUUCGCUUUCCCAGCAGCCACUCCAGUGUGCCCUCUUGAACUGGCAGUGUCUCUUCUUGCAAGGUCCUGUGAAAAUAUACGAACCCUUGUGACUUAAGGCCGCUCCGAAAUGAAAAAAAAAGCAACAAAACAGAGGCCAUCUCCAUGGUCGCUUCCUCUUCAGGCUUAUGUGGCAAACCUCUCGAUGAUGGUCUGAAGCACCAUUUUUAGAAAAAUCUAUCUCUACUAUAAAUGAAAUGUCCAUAAAGCUCACUCUUUUUCUAGAUGACUGCCUUAAAUAUUCACUCUUCGUUGGGAGAAAAAAAAAACAGCAACCAUGCAUCCUUACAAAUCCCUAAUGUUCAAUUUUUGGCAUAUGUAAAGCAUCAAAAUAUAUGUUUGGUUUGAGCACUUUCUUGGGCUGAUGUCACUGAAGGGAUAGUUUGAGUAUUUCAAGUUGGGGUUGUAUAAGAUAUAUGUCAAGAUUAAGUGUAUUACCCACUGGAGAUGGUGGUUAUUUCUGCCUCCAUGCUUCUUUCUGGCCAGUCUCUCAACAAAAGGGAUAUGCUAGCUGGGAUCUCCUGUGGGCAAUAAACAUAUUGACAGGUACCUUGGUUCAACCCCAGACUCGAUCCAUUUAAAGCUCCUUUUAGAACUUUUGGUUUCUGUCGAUGUUGGACUUUCCAGUGGACAAAACUACCUUGCUUAUCUUGUCCUGUGCAUGCCGAAGUAGUGUCUUUAAACACAAUAUGUCAUCAUUUAGGUUUUUGAUGGUUAAAUUUGUCAUUUAUUUUAAAUACUUUACAUGGAAAAUUUAAAAACUGUUUCAUCAGCUGACAACUACCCUCCUGCUCAUAUGUCAGGCAUUAAAAAAUAACAUAUUAAAAUCUCUAAUCUAGGUUAGGGGUGUCCUGAUACAAGUUUUUUACUCCCGAUACAAUACCGAUAUUGUAGUCUUUAGUAUUGGCUGAUACCGCUAUUGAUCCGAUAUCGGCACAAACUUGUGCUUGACAAGUGUUGCUCUCAGCUGCAACACCUUUUUCGGACUUAAAUGAAAAAUACUGCCAUUCGGCCGACAUCACUCCUACUCCUUGCUCCUUUGUGAGUACAAGAGUACACACUGUUGUUGUGAUUUCGUGGGCUCUGCAUGCUGGAUCUGAACGCUGUUAGCUAGAGGUGCUGGAACGGACUGCUUGUAUCAGAGUGCUGAUAUCAGAGAUGCAGGCCGAUAUAAUCCGAUAAUCGUUCUUGGUGAUAUCUGACCAAAAUCUGAUAUCAACAUCGAUUCAGGACAUCUCUAACCUUGGUGUUGGUCUUGUUUACUUUUGCAUAUCACAAAAAGCCAUAAGUAUGAAUUUCAGUCUGUCACAGCAGCUUUAAGCAUGAUUGAUACUAAGUUUACAGUCCCUGCUUGAUGCAGUCAAGUCAUACCAAUUAGUAUAUACUCUUAGUGGCGAUAUUCAAAAAACAGAACGGCAGAAUUCUUGAUUCUUAUCUCACAGAUACUGGUUUCACAGUGUAUGUCUGAAACUUUCUGAAGCUGAGUGAGGCACUCUUCAAAGCUCCUUUAUCAUACAUAUUCUGUGUAGUAACUCAUAAAAAGGCAGCGUAUCCACCGAGUCAUGAAUAAGGGCAUUUCCCCUGCCGAUCAACGUACUGCAUAAGUGGUUUGUACAACAUGCCUUCUGAUUUGUCUUGCAGAGAGCUAUGAUGCCUUUUGAAUGGCGAGAAGCGAGGAGAGUGCGGUUGUUGAUUUUCCUACUUCUAGUGCUAUUUUGAGAAUAUGCAAAUAAUCCCUGGAACGAUUGGCACCAAAGGUCGUUAAUUAACAUAAGUCAAUUUCACUGUGCUUCUUUUGGGAGUGAAAUGUAGCAGCAGUCAACUUUCUUUCUCUCUAGGUGCUUAUACAAUGUGAAUAAAGGCAGUAACAUGCAGUGUACAGCAGGCAGGAAGAACAAUAGAUAUAGUUUCUUUUCAACUUGCAGCACAUGUUAAAUCACAUGCAUGUGUUAAUUAAGUGUUGUAGUUUUAUAUAUAGAUUGGGUGAUAUCAUAUGCUGUCAGCAUCACGUCUUUGUCUUUCUAAGAAGAAGGGAUGUAUUUUGCAUUUUUGCUAUCCAACCCUCAGUGUCUCUGUCGGUUUAUUCGAGAACCCCAAUGCAGACACAAAACCAAUAUCCAAACGAACAGGUGUGCAAUCCAGUACGUGAAAGCAGUGCAAUCAUGCAAGCAAACCCAGGGGGCCGAAUCGGGCAGGAAGGUAGGUCAUAAACAGGCGGCAGGUGAAAACACAAAAAGCGGAUAUCAAGUUUUGCAGCAUUGAUGUGAUCUGUUGCAAGUGGCGGGGGAUACGAGUGAUUCACAUUGACAAGAAGAUAAAUUGACAAAGCUCCUGGUGAAUACAAACCUCGACAUGAGAGCGACAAGUUGGAAAUUUAAGGUGUUGUAUAGGUGAGGCAGUAGUAGCUCCUAAACUGCGCUCAUACUGCUCGUCUUUUAGGUACUUUGCAAGGGCAGCUGUGGUAGAUAAAGUAGUAAAAGUGACUUGAAACAGGAGCCAGUUUUAUACAGUAAGGACAGAUUAGAUAUAGAGAGGCAGGUGUGUCAUCAGGUGGGAACAAUCUGAGAGUCUGUAACAGGUGGAUGUGGGUGUUAGGUGAGUGGAAAAAAAAGUCUGAGGACAUCUGGUGUUAUGUGCAAGUUGAGAAUGGCACUUAGAGAGGAAUGCAUGGACCGACAGGGUCUGAGAGACGACUGUGGGAGGGAAUGGAGAGGCAAGAAUGAGACAAAUAACAUCAAGUUGAAGCCAUAACACACAGAUUUGUACAUCAGUUUGUGUUGUAUCUCUGGGGAUUGUGUGAAUGUCACUCAAAUGUAAUGAGAAAGUAUUCGACCCGUAUCUUUGUAUAAGGACUUUGUAGAGGGUGGACUCAUUCUUGUUAAUGGUGAUAGUUCACUUGUAAAGUUGUAGGUUUGAAUGUCAGAGCUGACCACUUUAGUGCUGCUGACAUUUUGAGAUCAAGUGCACUUUUUAAUUUCUCUGUGACUGUUGGACAUGUUAGAAAAAUCAACUAAGUGCCAUUUAUAGGAAUGGCCUGGUCAAGCUACACAAAAGCACACGUGUUUCACCUCAUGCAUGUUUCAUUUACAAUAAGCCCCCCCCUUUUUUUUUAGUACCACAGUGAAUUAACUUUUCAAAGUUCAGCUAAGGUACGAAAAGAGCAAAACACCUGUAUGAGAAGCACAAAGCACAACCCUGCUAAGACAAGGCCAAAUCAACAAAACAAAGAAUAUAUAUGAAGCCUCAAAGGGAUAUUCCAGCAUAAAAUUAAUACACCACUCAGAACAGCACCUAACUUCAUCAACAGUACAUAUAGGGUCACAGCCACAGCACUAGCCACCAAACAUCUUUUUAAUUUGCCUAAUUUCUUUCGCAAAGAGACUAAACACAACUCACCUACUCUCUUCCAGCAGCCGCUUGUUUGUUGCGAGACCUUGGACUAGUCCAUCAUUGACUGCAGCAGGGGGACGCAGCUCAAGGAAGAACAUUUAUGAUCAUUUCUUUAUCAUGUCCUUGAAGGUAUAAUUACCAUACUAAUCAUUUUGCACUUCAGAAGCAGUAGUUCUUCUGCCUUAGCGUCUUGGUCUGAUUGCAUUUCCAUGAAGUCUGAUCAUAUGAUCAUAAAUGAUCUUCCUUGAGCUGCGUCACCCCGCUGCAGUCCAUAAUGGCUGCUGGAAGAAAGUGGGUAAGUUGUGUUUAGUCUCUUUGCUAGAGAAAUCAGGCAAAGCUAAAAAGAUGUUUGGUGGCUAGUGCGAUGGCUGGGACCCUAUAUGUUAAAGAAAGCUAAACUUCUUGUUUAUCAGAAAAAUCAUCAAGCCUCAACAUAUGUGUGAUUUUAUAAGACAUACAGAGAUGAAUACCACUAAAAGUCUAAACUUUGAUUAGCUGUAAAACAAAGUGAAUCCUUGAAACACAACAAAAAGAGCCAUAUCUGGUGCAGCUGCAGAGUCUCAGAAUAAGGAUCAAUCAAACUAGGUUAGUUUCAGAUAAAAACCAAGGUGUGCUGCAGGAUUUUAAUACGUAGUUAUUAAGUACACACAGUAUUGUAAGCAUCUAAACUGUGCUAGUCAAUUUUAUUCCAGUACCAAAGUCAUCACUUGAUGAUGCACUCCAGUGCAACUAUGAGAUGUCUUGAAAAACAAGCUUGGUGUUAAAUAUGAUUAUUCUCAGUACUGUGGCACAGGGUGGAUGUAGGAUACAGAUAUAGAUGGCUGAUUACAUUUCCAGUCUGCUGCAAGAAGGUUACAUAUGAGUUACAUAUUCUCCAGCAACUGGUAAACAAAGUCACCACAGUAGUUGUUUAUUCAUUAAAAUGCAAAGAAGAAAUGAAAGCACUGUUGCACCUGUUCUAUUAAGGUGAAAGCCAAGUGUGAACCUAAGCCUUAACAGUUUCUGUGUAGGCUUCUGAGGGACAUAUACACAUGCUAUCUAAUUUGAAUAAAACCAAUAACAAAGCACAAUGAUUAUUCACGACCACAGGCUUUUGCUUCCUGUAUAACUUUAUUGAAAAAGUCUUGGUGUUUAUUUCAGCUUGUCUGUGUGGAGGCACGCUGCCUUCGCUCUCUCUGAAAAACAUUGGUUGCACUGGGAUCUACAAGUUAAAAUAAAUAACUGCUUGCUAAUGUGUAUUUGUGCAGGUCAAGGGAGAGGUUGUGUCUCCACACACCAGUCCUGCCUCACAGUCUACAAAUGCCCAAUCAACAGCAACAGUGAGUUCCUCCAGACAGCAACGCUACAUCCUUCAGACUGG